CCUGAGGAUGAACCUGUUGCGGCAACAUCCGAAUCUCAGGAGAGGACUUCAUGGGAGGACUUACUCCUCAAAGCUGUUAGGGUCCAUCAGGUUGGGCGUCCUUGGUCGAGAUGACCACCCAAUUUGGUGAUGAUGCUGUUAGAUUCCGUCAGCCUUGGAAACAACGAGCGCUCCCUGUGAUGCUUCGAGCAGGGCAUCAUGGUCGUGCUUGUCGGCCGUGAGGUGAGCAUCCCUCUGACGACACGAUGCCAGGGUCCACCCGGAGUCCCGGAUGGAUAAUGCCGGACUUGGUCCUGUCCAGGGAUGAGACCAACCUUUUCGGAUUUGUCACCUUUCCACGGCCGCCUUCGCACUUCUGGCCGGGGGAGGACUGUAAGCUGAGGAAAACGUCUUCCUGCAACUGUGACCUGAGGAACCCAUCUUCCUGCAACGUUGCUUCGUCAAUACAGUUGAAUUAGUUGCACAAGCGUUUGACCGCUCACAACCAUCAAUAGGCCUGCUCUCUGCUAGGAGACCAGCGGAGUACCUGUGUGUCCCACUAAACGAGUGGUCGCACUGAUUUUCUUGAGAAAACUAUCUUUAUGGUAAUUUCGCACAUACUCUGCGUACACUGUGUCGUUGAAAUAAUAAAUCAGUCUGCUCCGAGACA
rnacentral:lncRNA from 1 species